rnacentral:rRNA from 1 species
GACGAACGCUGGCGGCGUGCCUAAUACAUGCAAGUCGAGCGAGCGGCGGACGGGUGAGUAAUGUCUGGGAAACUGCCUGAUGGAGGGGGAUAACUACUGGAAAAGGUAGCUAAUACCGCAUACCAUCAGAUGUGCCCCGAUGGGAUUAGCUAGUGGGUGGGGUAACGGCCCACCUAGGCGACGAUCCCUAGCUGGUCUGAGAGGAGGACCAGCCACACUGGAACUGAGACACGGUCCAGACUCCUACGGGAGGCAGCAGUGGGGAAUAUUGCACAAUGGGCGCAAGCCUGAUGCAGCCAUGCCGCGUGUGUGAAGAAGGCCUUCGGGUUGUAAAGCACUUUCAGCGGGGAUGCGUUACCCGCAGAAGAAGCACCGGCUAACUCCGUGCCAGCAGCCGCGGUAAUAC